rfam:Trichobilharzia regenti genome assembly, scaffold: TRE_scaffold0015525
AUCCAGUUGACGAGUCCAAAAUGGGAGGAAAUGUGCAUCCUGAAU